AUGAUUUCAACCUUUACAUGUAAAUUAAUUAUCUCUUGGGCCUAGAAAAUAGAUUCUAAGUAAUAUUAGGCUGUUGACAACAAUUGGAUGAUGUUGAUGUUGGUAAUUGGACUCGAGGAAAAAUGAGGCUUAUGGGACAAGAUUGUAAUGCCAUUAGUAACUUGAAUAAUGAAUUCCUUUAAAUUAUUUUGACGUGAAUGGAAGUAUUUUGGGAUUUUGUGUGUGUUAAGGCUAUUAAAUGGAGGAUUGUCUUUAAUAUUAAUUGGUAAUACAUGUGAUUUUUCGACGUUGAGUGAAAAAAGAAAGUGAUAUAAUCUCCGUAGGAGCUUGUGCACACACAAGGGCAAAAAGGUGAGCAUGGAACUAUGUAGAGGGCACGGCUAGCUGUGGAGCUCUUACGGGAUUCCAAAGAUCAAUGUACAUGGAUGACGACCUGUAGGGUUAUUUUGUGGGCUAUUGUUUUGAGCUUACACUCUAUUGUGUCGUAUUUUGGGGGUCCUAUCUUGUAUAACUUUUGAAAUGGCCUAUAGAUGUGUUUAUAACCUUAGAACAUACGUGUUGGAUUAUGGUUAUAUGAUCGUUGAUUUUGAUAUAAUAUAUGAUCAUCACAGGUGAUUUGAAGUUAA